GUGGGAUGCCGCCUCAGUGUGGCCUAAUGAGUGGUGCCAUGUCCACACCCAGGAUACGAACCAGCGAAACUCUGGGCCUCUGAAGCAGAGCGCACGAACUUAACCACUCAGCCACGGGGCCGGCCCCCUAGGUUUGUUUCUUUUUAUGUUUCCCUGGUGCAUUUGGCCCAAGGAUCCCCUGGCCAAGGCUAGGUAGGACAGGAGAAGUCACCUCUGCCACCUGCCAGGGCGUGACCCAGGGAGGCCGGUCUUGUGUGGCGGCUGCAGUGGCCGAGGGACAAUGGCCGGGGGACACAGGGCUGGCCUCUCAGCCCUGGCAGGAGGAGCUGCAGACAGGUGUCGGGUGGAGAUGACGGGAAGCCCAGGGCUGCCUGGGCCAGGUCCCACCGUCCACUUCCCACCAGUCAGGUGGUGGUUGUGGCAUUGAAGGUAAGCCCAGGAGACACUUUCCCCCAGAAUGACCAAGCAGGAUGAGUGUGUGGGUUGGCGGCUGCUGGCUCCUGUCUGUAACUGACGCCUGGCGUCUGGGUGAAGGAUCCUCACUGGGGGGAUUGCGGAUGGGCUGUCCCUCCUUGUCCUUAGUGCCACGGGGCUCAGUGACCAUGGAAGCCCUCCACCACACAGCGCCCACAGAGGCUUGCGAAGUGCCCUGUCAAGCACUUUCCACGCACUCCCUCGCUUAAUUCUUAACCCUAUGAGGAGGGCACGACCUCUCCAUGUUGUCCAGUGCCGAAGGCAUGGGGUGAGCCUCUGGUCCAGGAUCGCAGAGGCCUGCAGGCCCCGGCCCUCAGCUGUGCGCAGGCUCCGAGCUGCCGCGUUCACGUCUCGGAAUUGAGCCGCCUCGGCCAAGCCAUCCUGCUGAUCUGUCGUCUGAGCACAGGACCUGGUGGUGCACUGACCUGGCAGCUGUGGCGGUGGUGACACUAAGUGUGGGCCCUUCCCAUGCGUUUCUUUGUCAGCUGGCUGUCACCAGGAGAUGGUUACGUACUAGUUCACUGGGAAACGCAGACUAGGGUAUCCUUUGAGAAAGUUCUGGGUUUGAGUGGCUUUGAGAGGAAAAUCUCCAGCAGGGGAUGAAAGCACCUAAUUGAAGAACGGAGUCCGUGGUCCAUGCAGCGCCUGGGGCACCUUGAGGCAUCAGGAGAAGCGCUCUGCGCAGACUCCUCGCAGGUGCCCCCGUGUCCCUCUGUGGCUCUCUGCAUUGCACUGUCCUCAGCCUCAGAGUGCCUGCAGGAUGUCCAUGAAGCUGAGCCCUGACCCAGGUGGAGUCAGGAGGCACCCCCAGCUGCACUGGCCGCCUCCACCAGGGGCUCUCUUACUGCACAGCAUGUCCAUAACUCUGUGAUUGGUGUCACAGGCCAGCUGAGAGCUGGUGCUGUCACCUGUUAACAGCCUCUGUGAAGUCUGGGGAGCAGGCAGGCCUGGUGGCCAAUGGCAAGUGUGGUCCCCGGUGAAAUGAUGGUGUCCUGUCAGCCGAAUGCUGAGCCCACACUCCAACUUGAGAACUGCCCCCGAGGCCCCUGCUGCCCAGCUCCCCUCAGGCUGCUUCCUGAAAGGGGAGAGUGUGCAGCGGAAGAACGCUGUUCCUGUCGUGCAUGCUUAGGAGGCCCACAAAGAGAAGGGCAUCGCAGACAGAAGACCAAAUCGGAAUCCCAGUGAUACCCAGGAGGCGGCAGGGUCUGCUUCCGCUCCUCCCUUAUCACUGCACAUUGGUGACCGGGGCUUGCAGGGGACAGUGCAGUGACCAGCCCAGCAGCCGGUGGCCGAGCAGGCACCAGGUGACGUGAUGACUCGUUGCUGACAUGCCGUUUUCUCUUGCACAGGUUCGCCCCAGUCUUUUCAUACCUUUCUGUCCCUUUCCUGUCAACAGUUAACACGCUUUGUGAAAAGGAGACUGAAAAUGGUCUCUGAUGAGCCCAAAUAAGCCCUUCUGGAAAAUGCAGUUGCUACAGGUGGCUUUUUGUAUGCGUUUUCCUCAGUGUCUGACCUUGUGCUUGUAGCUCACCAUUACAUUACAUCAUCUGGGGUAGAAGGGAAUUAAAGAGCCAAGAAAUAGGAAUCUCUUGCACCUUAAUUUUGUUAAUCGUCAGGAAUGGGUGGUCCUUAGGGAUGAGCGGUAAGAACGAGAAAUCGUGCUGCACAUCCACCUCAGGCUGCUGUCUCUCCUGCUGGUGAGACUCAGCCACGUGGUCGUCUGGGUAGG
rnacentral:lncRNA from 1 species